rnacentral:lncRNA from 1 species
AUGAUCGGAAUCGUAGGAAAGUUAUUAUUGCUGUAUAUCUCUUUGGUCCAGACGAAUCCACCUCAGUCUGUGAAGAUCUCUGUUACAGAUGCUGACACAGUGUAUGAGUGCAGUGCAGAUGCCAACACACCCACUCAGUACACAUGGACAAGAGAGGGUCAGCCCCUACCCAGUACUGGGGUGAGGGCAGAGGGCCACAGACUGGUGUUCCUGGAGUUCACUUCUGAGCUGAAUGGCCUGUACACCUGUGAGGUCACAACCCCCGAAGGGGCCCAAAGGGCCACAAUCACUCGCUAUGUAACGACCGGUAAGGCUCACUGUGAGUUUCAUGGUGUGUGUGUAGUCGUAGCGUAGUUGUGUGUAGCAGUAGUCGUGAGUGUGUGUGUGUGUGUGUGUCUGUGUUUGUGGGUGUGUCUGUGUGUGUGUGGAAAUGUUUGUUGGAGAGUGUGUGUGUGUGUGUGUGUGUGUGUGUGUGUGUGUGUGUGUGUGUGUGUGUGUGUGUGUGUGUGUGUGUGUGUGUGGUCAUGACUAAUCAUGACUAGUGAUUUCCAUCCAUUCUCAUUCUCUAUUUUCAUUCUCUGUUCUUCAUCUAUUAGGAGGAUCUAAAAUAGACUUUUCUCUGUUAGCUGUGGUGACCAUUGGGGCUGUUCUCAUCGUCACACUCUGGCAAUGGUAAAUACCUCAUGUAUGUUCCUUUCCCACCCACCUCCGUAAAACUAUACUGCAUGUAGACACACACACACACACACACACACACACACACACACACACACUCUCACUCUCCAACAAACAUUUCCACACACACACAGACACACCCACAAACACAGACACACACACACACACACACACACUCACGACUACUGCUACACACAACUACGCUACGACUACACACACACCCUCACCCCAACUGAUCUGCAUCUAUUGACCUGAUGUUAUUGUAGUUGUAAAUACAACAGAUGAUGAACAUUAGUUACUAAUUCCUAAGAGGGCACACAUCACCCUGCUACUUAUUGAGCUCCACUGGCUGCCUGUAGCUGCUCGCAUUAAGUUCAAGUCACAUAUGCUUGCUUACAGAGUGAUUGCUGGUUCUGCUCCCUUCUACUUAAAUGCUCUUGUAAUGGCAAAUGUUACGCCCAGGAUGCUGCUCUCGUCUAAUGAGCGUUGUUUAGCCCUGAUGACUGUGCAAGUACGGCAAUCUAGACUAUUCUCAUUCGUAGUUCCACGUUGGUGGAACAAACUGCCUAGCACUACCAGAGCAGGGGCGUCCCUCUCUACCCUUAAGAAGCUCUUGAAGACCCAACUCUUUAGAGAGCACCUCCUUUCCUUACUUGCACUUCUACUAGUAUUUAACUUGCACUUAAAGCAGUUGCACUUUUUUUCUAUUGCUUAUGUAAAAUAGUAUUUAUUGUAACACUAGGUCUCUAUUGCUCGUAGCUUGAUUGUUCUCUCCCUUUGGAUAAAAGCGUCUGCUAAAUGACUAAAUGUAAAUGUUGUGUUGUGUUGUUUGUGUCUUUGAUUAUGUGCAGUGUCAAAAGGAGGAAACAACAGAGAAGUUUGAAAGCUCUACUCCCAUACCACACCUGAGCUUUUUAAUCAAUGUGCUGAUGAAUCAUAUUUAUGAAUUAUAUCUACAAUUAUAUCUUUAUGUUCCUCCCACGGUUUUGGUUUAAAUAAAAACAUAUUUUUGCAACA